rnacentral:rRNA from 1 species
UGCGCAGGCGGAAUAUUAAGUCAGUGGUGAAAGCCUACAGCUCAACUGUAGAACUGCCAUUGAUACUGAUCUUCUUGAGUAUAGUUGUAGUGGGCGGAAUAUAUCAUGUAGCGGUGAAAUGCUUAGAUAUGAUAUAGAACACCGAUCGCGAGGGCAGCUCACUAAACUAUAACUGACGCUCAGGCACGAAAGCGUGGGGAGCAAACAGGAUUAGAUACCCUGGUAGUCC